GACGAACGCUGGCGGCGUGCUUAACACAUGCAAGUCGAGCGAUGAAGUUUCUUCGGAAAUGGAUUAGCGGCGAACGGGUGAGGAACACGUGAAGAAUCUGCCCUCCACUUUGGGAUAACACAGGGAAACCUGUGCUAAUACCGAAUAUUGAAACAUAAGUGGCAUCACUGAGUUUUGAAAGAACUUCGGUGGAGGAUGACUUCGCGGCCUAUCAGCUAGUUGGUGAGGUAAUGGCUCACCAAGGCAACGACGGGUAGCCGGCCUGAGAGGGCGACCGGCCACACUGGGACUGAGACACGGCCCAGACUCCUACGGGAGGCAGCAGUGGGGAAUAUUGGGCAAUGGAGGAAACUCUGACCCAGCGACGCCGCGUGCGGGAUGAAGGCCUUCGGGUUGUAAACCGCUUUCAGUAGGGAAGAAGCGAAAGUGACGGUACCUACAAAAGAAGCACCGGCUAACUAUGUGCCAGCAGCCGCCGUAA
rnacentral:rRNA from 1 species